GAAAUAUUGACUUUUUUAAAUUUUAAAGGUAUUUCUAGUGCAAAUAUCAUAAAUCUCGAAUGAUAUUAUCGUAGCAACAAGUUCCACGUUACUGUUUAGUUUCAAUACUUCAGGAGACCAGAACAUAGACAGCUGGGUAUUCAGGAAGAACAUCCCGACUGAAAUGAUACCCGUUUGGUUGGAUACACAUUUGAACGAGCAACCUGGGAAGAAUAGUUAUGCUCCGCUUUGUAGAGGCCGACAACAACCUUCAGUUCCGCGGUCAAACUUUGGAAAAGGACAGGAUUGCGCCAAUGCCCUCAUUAUGUUCUAGUCUCGGUACGACCUCCGAACCGAACCAAUCCAAUGCAUGGAUCCAAGACGAUGCUGCCUAAACAUAUCGAUAAGAGAUCGCAACAGUUAAAGCUCUAUAUGUUGCUGAUA